CCGUUCACUCGGCGUGGCGUACUGUCGUCUGUUAAUAGUGUCUUUGAUCCUCUGGGCCUAUUAGCACCUGUCACAAUCCAAGGAAGAGCUCUACUCAGAGAACUCACUUCAGAAAAUUCAGAUUGGGACUCACCCCUUCCAGUGGACAAACAAAGUAAGUGGGAAACAUGGAGAAAUUCCCUUCAGGACCUAAAGGAUCUACAUGUUCCUAGGACCUACACAUCUACCUCACUCAGUCAAGCAACACACAAAGAACUAUGCCUAUUCUCAGACGCAUCAACUAAGGCGAUAGGAGCCGUAGCCUACUUGAAAGCAGUUCAAACAGACGGCAAAGUUGAGGUUGGAUUCAUAAUGGGCAAAGCAAAGCUAGCUCCCUUGUCAGAACCUACUAUUCCGAGACUAGAACUGUGCGCAGCCGUUUUGGCAGUAGAAAUGGCUGAUCUCAUUCAGGGUGAGUUACAUCUACAGUUUGAUAUAGUACGCUUUUAUACAGACAGUAAGGUAGUACUAGGCUACAUCUGUAACGAGUCAAAAAGAUUCUACACAUAUGUCCACAACAGAGUACAGCGCAUUCGCCAGUCUUCAAAGCCAGGGCAGUGGUAUUAUGUGCGUACAGAGGAAAACCCAGUAGACCAUGCGUCACGGUCCUUGCCAACAGCUCAACUCACAAAGUCCACAUGGUUCACCGGACCAUCCUUCAUACACCGUUCUCCUGUGGAAACAACACAUGAAAGCGAAAUGUUUGAGCUGAUUGAACCAGACAAAGACUCUGAAAUCAGGCCACAAGUCAAAACUUACGCCACUCAUCUCCAAGUACUAAGCAGUAAACGCUUUGAGAGGUUUUCUACCUUCAAGUCUUUAGUCGGAGCAAUAGCAAAUCUUGUCCACAUUGCAAAAUCCUUCAAUGGCACUAACCCAAACAGCGUAUGCAAAGGCUGGCCCAAAUGCCACCUCCCACGUACUCCAGAGGAAAUAGCUCAAGCAAAAAACGUUAUCCUCAAAGAGACACAAAAGGCUCACUUUCAAAAGGAACUUUCUGCUCUUAACUCUGGAAAGUCAGUCUCAAAACAGAGCCCCCUACAAAAGCUCAGCCCAGUCUUACAGAACGGUCUCAUUACCGUUGGAGGCAGACUCAAACACUCCGAAAUCGAGAACUUUGAAAAAAGCCCAGUAAUUCUCUCUAAGGACCGUCACAUCUCCCUUCUGCUCACUCGUCACCACCACGAGUUGGUGAAGCACCAAGGCCGUCAUCUGACGGAAGGAGCAAUCAGGGCUGCAGGAUUGUGGCUCAUUGGUGGCAAAAGACUACUAAACUCAGUAAUCCACAAAUGCAUAAUCUGCCGCAAGCUGCGUGGAAAACAGGAACAACAACGCAUGGCAGACCUACCACCCGAACGCCUCAAAACAUGUCCUCCUUUCACCUACGUCGGCCUUGAUGUUUUCGGGCCUUGGAUUAUAACAACAAGGCGUACCAGGGGCGGACAAGCCGAAAGCAAGCGUUGGGCUAUCAUGUUUACCUGCAUGAGUUCGAGAGCUGUGCAUAUUGAAGUAAUCGAAUCUCUAGACACAUCCAGCUGCAUUAACGCCCUUCGCCGUUUCUUUGCACUAAGAGGCCCCGCCAAACAGCUGCUAUCCGAUCGCGGCACCAAUUUCAUUGGAGCUUCAAAAGAACUAGGAAUGGACAAAUCAAUGCAAAAAUAUAUAUCAGAUCAAGGUUGUACCUGGGAAUUCAAUCCGCCACAUGCUUCCCACAUGGGAGGCUCUUGGGAGCGCAUGAUCGGCAUUGCCCGCAGAAUCCUGGACUCGAUGCUACUUCAAAACAAGUUGCAACUGACUCACAAAGUGUUGUCUACAUUCAUGGCCGAAAUCACAGCCAUCAUAAAUGCAAGGCCACUCCUCCCAGUUUCCUCUGAUCCAGAAAACCCCUUUAUCCUAUCUCCCUCAACGCUCCUUACACAGAAAUCUUGCCUUUUACCACCCCCUGGAGACUUCCUGGACAAACACCUUUACACCAAACAAUGGAGGCAGGUCCAAGCUCUUUCAAAUCAGUUUUGGACCCGCUGGAGGCGAGAGUAUUUGCCCACACUGCAACAAAGACAGAAAUGGACUGUAUCCCACAGAAACCUCCAAGUCGGUGAUCUAGUUCUGCUUAAGGACAAGCAGGUCACACGGAACAGCUGGCCCAUGGCAAGAGUCACUGCCACUUUCCCAGGCAAGGACGAUCGAGUAAGGAAGAUCGAGAUGAAGUUUUCACCAUUUUGAUGAAGACAUUAAAACGCUUGAACUGCACCUGGGUCUUCAUUCGCGGUUUAACUCGGUGUCACCAACAUCUUCUACGUUGAAAACACUAGAGGGAAGAUUCAACAUUCCAGAGCACCCCACAAGAGAACUGGAAAAAGAAAAUAGAGGCAGCUGAAAAGGAUGAUGUUUCAAUCAACUGCAGCCAUGAUGAAAGUUUGGACAUACAUGCCAGCAGUGGGAUUGUGAGCUCAGAUAUUGAUGAGACCCAAAAAAGCAGAUGAAACAUCGCUGGAGUGAAGCAGAAAAGACUGCAGUGCAUAAACACCUGGGAACGUUUAUGGCUGAAUGCAGAGUACCAGGAAUGGGUGACUGCAUGCAAUGCAUAGAAAAAGAGAAAGUCUUGGAUCAGAGAUCCUGGCAGGAUGUGUAGAAUUUUGUGUAUAACACAAUUGUCACUUUGAACAUCUCUUUC